rnacentral:lncRNA from 1 species
CACAUGCACUUUUUUCUACACUUUGACACUCUUAAUGCUAAUGCAUCAGAAGCUGCAGUGUUUGCUUUCUCAAUGAAGCCAUGCUAUAUCAGAAAAAUCCAUGUAUGCUAGAUAUCAUUUCCUUGAUGGUUGAAUGACUGCAGCACCAGAUUUCCCUCUGGUAAUGUUUGUAGAAGUCUCUAGGGCAGCACAGGGUAGGGUGCUACAACCUCAGAGGCCAUGCCUUCGGCACACAGCAGUGUGAAGCUUAGAUGCACAGCAAGAAAUAGGGUUGUUCUGAAUUAAAUUUACAGCAUCCAACAUGCAUCUGGCCAAGAGUAGACGACAAAACACCCCUUGGUAUUGCUUUGUUAUGGCAAAUUGGUGGGUGUUAGAAACAUUUAGUGGUGGGAUGUAUGGUAUGUUCUGGACACCAUCUAUUCUGGUUUGCAGGCAUGGAAUUGCAGAAGAGCCUACAUCACUGCAAUGCUUGACCCACAUCACUUGCCUUGUUCUGCCUACCUCGUGAACAUAAGGAAUGAAGUACGAUGAAUGCUGCCCAACAACUCCAGAAAACAGGAAAUGGAUGAACCAAAUAUAGUGCUCGGGUUGCAAUGUCAGGCAGCCAGGUGACAGGUAUUGGAGUUCGCCGGAAUGCAGUUGUCGGGGACCUUGGAUCAAACUCUACAUCAGCUGCUUCUGCUGAG